AAAGGGAGACCUAAUUCGGGUAGAAGACGAAAAAAUAGUAGUCGAAACCAAGAAUCAAUCCCAAAAGGUCGGAACGAGGUAUGUGGCUUUCAAACUAGGUUCUGGGUUCACACAAGACCUGAAUCAGGAACAAGGGCUAUUAGCUCAGGUGGUUAGAGCGCACCCCUGAUAAGGGUGAGGUCCCUGGUUCGAGUCCAGGAUGGCCCACCUGCACAGGUGGCAAAAACAAAGAAAAGAAGCGAGGAAUCAGCACCUUAUCUUACUUAUAUAGUAAGAGAGAAUGCUGGCUCUGAGUUCAGAGUCCAGAGGAACCUUGAAAACUGCAUAGAGCUAGGUGAAAAAGCCAAAAAAGAAGACCGUCAG
rnacentral:tRNA from 1 species